rnacentral:rRNA from 1 species
UACGUAGGGUGCAAGCGUUGUCCGGAAUUACUGGGCGUAAAGGGCGCGUAGGCGGCCGCCUAAGUCAGACGUGAAAUCCCUCGGCUCAACCGGGGAACUGCGUCUGAUACUGGGUGGCUUGAAUUCGGGAGAGGGAUGCGGAAUUCCAGGUGUAGCGGUGAAAUGCGUAGAUAUCUGGAGGAACACCGGUGGCGAAGGCGGCAUCCUGGACCGGCAUUGACGCUGAGGCGCGAAAGCCAGGGGAGCAAACGGG